UCUUAUGGUAAUUAUAUAAAGACAUUACCUCACUAUUGUUUUGUUGUAUUGGAAAAUUGUGAAUCAUUUAUUUCCUGUGAAACAAGUGUGAAACCCUUCACUGACUGUCAUGUGACAGCUGGGAAUUCUGCUAUGAAGUGACUUCGUGGGUGGAAGUCAUGAUAGUGUGCACUUUAGACAAAGUCACAAAGCUCUUUAAAGAUGCCCUUCCUAAAACUUGCUUUCUUAAAAUUCCUGUUAAUCUACAGUCUCACCAUCUGCAGAAAUUCUUACCAAUUUUCACCAAGUUUUAGCUAGUCUGUGGUUUAGGAUUUACAGGCUCUACAAGAAAAAAAAAUUCUAUAGUUGCUGGAGAUGUGUCAAAGAGGUCUGUAUAUGACAGUAUUUACAGAUUAAGAUGUUGGGCUCUUUAAUGCAGUUUUUGUUUUCUGUAUUAAGCAAAUUCUAAUUUUUAUAUGUGGUUUUUGACUGUGGGGGUUGUCUCUAUAGUUUGUCUUACUGUUGAAAUGACAUGGUUAUCCAAAGCCUCUAGUGUCCGUCAGGUGUGUAUUCUCUAUAUAGAUGUAUCAGCUGGAGGUCAGAGCUCCCACUUGUUUUGAAGUUCUGUGGAGCUGACUAGUACCGCGCAGUGACAGGAAUCGUUUACUUGUUUUCAGGGCGGGGGUUAUUGCAGUGGAUUCUUUUCUUCAUCAAAUGCGCUUCUUGUUUUCUUAUUAAAUGCUAUCUCAGAUUUUAUUUUUAGAUGAUUUUUUAACCUUAAAUUCAUUCUAUUCACCUAUUACUGUGAAUUGUGUUUCUAUUUAUUUUCCUUGGCUAAUUUAACUUUAUUCGUUACUUCCUAGAUUUUUCUAUGGCACUGUUUAGAACUAUUGUAUUGCUU
rnacentral:lncRNA from 1 species